rnacentral:miRNA from 1 species
UUGGAUAAUUGAAGAUAUAAA